GGUAAUAGCUCAGUGAUAGAGCGCAUGCUUAGCAUGCACAAGGUCUUGGGUUCAAGCCCCAGUACCG
rnacentral:tRNA from 1 species